rnacentral:lncRNA from 1 species
AGUACUCCACCUAUCAGGCAAAUGACAGCCCGCUUGGAGAUUGCCAAAAGGCACCUAAAGACUCUUAGACCAUGGGAAACAAGAUUCUCUGACAGAGUGUUUGGAAGGUGUCUGGAGUUACCUAGUGCGGACCUAUACACCUAUGAUGUGUCAGCCUCUGCUCUACAGCACCUGAGGAGUCUCCUCCAGAAACUGUCCCACAGAGGUACUGUCUGUCUGUCUCUCUGCUUGCCUGCUUGUCUUUCUGUCUCGCUGUCCCUGUACAGAUGCGUGUGUAUGUCUGAUUGGUCCGUCUCUUUUCCUCUUUUGCUUCUAUAUUUCAGAGUGCUGGGUCCAGCUGUGACCUUCAGGGUGGGCUCCAACCCUCAUAAUGUCAGCACUGCAGAUCUGGCCAACGUUGCAGGGCAUUUAAUCAUCCCCUUUUCUCUCUCUCUCUCUUCCCAGAAGGGCAGCUUGAGACAGAUCCCAGUGGUCAAGGAGAGUCAUCUGGAGUCUGGUCAGUUCAUGGUCUUGACCAUCAUCUCCAUGGUCCUGAUCAUGGGGGCGCUGGCAGUGUCUGGCUGGCUCUUCUGCCUGCGCCACCGCUCCCACCUCCAACUGAAGGAGAAACUAGCCAGCCUGGGGACUGACACCAGCGCUGAUGCAACCGCAACCUAUCAGGAGCUGUGUCGCCAGCGGAUGGCUGUGCGGACAUCGGAGCGUCCGGAGCGUGCGGAGUGCCCGGAGCCUCUGCGGCGCCUCUCGCGGCUGAACAGCUCGUCUUCUCAGUUCAGCGACGGGGGACCCAUAGCCAGCCCCUCGGCCCGUAGCUCCACUUCCUCCUGGUGCGAAGAGCCUGUCCCUUCCAACAUGGACAUCUCCACCGGCCACAUGAUACUGUCGUACAUGGAGGACCACUUGAAGAACAAGAACCGCCUGGAGAGGGAGUGGGAGGCGAUGUGUGGUUACCUGGCUGAGCCCGGUGACUGUGACGUGGGCCAGGGCCAACACAACACCAAGAGGAACCGCUCUGACACCGUGGUUGUCUAUGAUCAUUCCAGAAUCACCUUGAAGGCUGAGAAUAACCAUGGCAACUCGGAUUACAUCAAUGCUAGCCCAAUUAUGGACCAUGACCCGAGGAACCCCAUGUACAUCGCUUCACAAGGCCCUCUACCCUCCACCGUGGCUGACUUCUGGCAGAUGGUGUGGGAGAGUGGCUGCGUGGUCAUCGUCAUGCUAACGCCCCUGUCUGAAAAUGGAGUGAAACAGUGUCAACAGUACUGGCCAGACGAGGGCUCCAAUGUCUACCAUGUUUAUGAGGUGAACCUGGUGUCAGAACACAUCUGGUGUGAGGACUUCCUGGUCAGGAGUUUCUACCUGAAGAACUUGCAGACCAACGAGACACGCACUGUCACGCAGUUCCACUUCCUUUCCUGGGUAGACCACAGCAUCCCUGACUCAGCCAGGACACUGCUGGACUUCCGUAGAAAGGUUAACAAGUGCUACCGGGGUCGGUCUUGUCCAAUAAUUGUCCACUGCAGUGACGGGGCUGGCCGAAGCGGAACGUACAUCCUGAUUGACAUGGUCCUCAAUAGGAUGGCUAAAGGUGCUAAAGAGAUUGAUAUUGCCGCUACCCUGGAGCACUUGAGAGACCAAAGAGCCGGCAUGGUCCAGACAAAGGAGCAGUUUGAGCUUGCGCUGACAGCCGUAGCAGAGGAGGUGAAUGCCAUCCUUAAAGCACUUCCACAGUGAAACUCGACGCCGCCCCACACCGUGCCACAUCUCGCUGUCUAAACACAUGUUUUUUCUGCCCACUCAAGUCUGUCAUCUCGCUUUUGUCCCAAAUGGCACCCUAAUCCCUACGCAGUGCGCUACUUUUGAACAGGGCCCAUAAGGGUCUGGUCAAAAGUGGUACACUAUGUAGGGAAUAGGGUGGUGCCAUUUGGGACAUACAUACCUAUCUUCUCUUGUUUCUCUCUCCUCUGAUUCUCGCUCUUGGAAUACUUAUGAAUGUUGUGCCAGAUACUUGACCGACCUGGUCUUCUUAAGUGUGAUGUAUUCUUUUUGCAGUUGUGUUCCAGUGCCACUUACAGAUAGCUAGACAAAGUCACGUGUGUUCUCUCUCUCUCUUUGUGAUCUGAAUAAUCUAUUAUACUAAGAAUCAGAUAAUUGGUUAUUGAUGUGUGAAGAAUAUGAUAUUGUAUUCAAGGCCUGAACAUCUGUGUCCUGUAUAUAGAGAAGAUGCUUCAAAGAACAAUGUCGAAGUGAUCUUUACUAUUAAAGUUCUGAACCACAUUCUAUGGCCCUGUUCAAAUACAUUCGAAAUGUAUCCUUCCUUCCUUGAGAAUCUGUAAGUGAUAUACACUACCGGUCAAACGUUUAGAACACCUACUCAUUCAAGGGGUUUUUCUUUAUUUUUACUAUUUUCUACAUUGUAGAAUUGUAGAAUAACACAUAUGGAAUCAUGUAGUAACCAAAAAAGUGUUAAACAAAUCUAAAUAUAUUUUAUAUUUGAGAUUCUUCAAAGUAGCCAGCCUUUGCCUCGAUGACAGCUUUGCACACUUGUCAUUCUCUCAACCUGCUCCACCUGGAAUGCUUUUCUAACAGUCUUGAAGGAGUUCCCACACAUCCUGAACACUUGUUGGCUGCUUUUCCUUCACUCUGCGCUCCGACUUUUCCCAAAUCAUCUCAAUUUGGUUGAAGUCGGGUGAUUGUGGAGGCCAGGUCAACUGAUGCAGCACUCCGUCACUCUCCUUCUUGGUAAAAUAGCACUUACACAGCCUGGAGGUAUGUUCGGUCAUUAUCCUUUUGAAAAACAAAUUAUAGUCCCAUAAGCCCAAACCAGAUGGGAUGGCGUAUCGCUGCAGAAUGCUGUGGUAGCCAUGCCGGUUAAGAGUGCCUUGAAUUCUAAAUAAAUCACAGACAGUGUCACCA